CACCGGCGGCUCGAGUGGUGGCCACUUUUAUUGGGUCUAAAGCGUCCGUAGCCGGCUUGGCAAGUCCCCUGGGAAAUCUGGCGGCUUAACCGUCAGGCGUCCAGAGGAUACUGCCAGGCUUGGGACCGGGAGAGGUGAGAGGUACCUCAGGGGUAGGGGUGAAAUCUUGUGAUCCCUGAGGGACCACCAGUGGCGAAGGCGUCUCACUAGAACGGGUCCGACGGUCAGGGACGAAAGCUGGGGGCACGAACCGG
rnacentral:rRNA from 1 species